AGUUCGAUUCUGGCUCAGGAUGAACGCUGGCGGCAUGCCUAAUACAUGCAAGUCGAACGGAGUGAAGCCUUCGGGUUUCAUUCAGUGGCGAACGGGUGAGUAAUACGCAGGGAACCUGGCCAUGGCAGGGGGAUACACUCUGGAAACGGAGCAUAAGACCCCAUAGGCAGUAAGGCGGCAUCGCCUUACUGUUAAAGAAAGCUGAAAGGCUUUGGCGAUGGAUGGACCUGCGGUGCAUUAGCUUGUUGGUGAGGCAACGGCUUACCAAGGCGAUGAUGCAUAGCCGGCCUGAGAGGGCGGACGGCCACACUGGGACUGAGACACGGCCCAGACUCCUGCGGGAGGCAGCAGUAGGGAAUUUUCGUCAAUGGGCGCAAGCCUGAACGAGCAAUGCCGCGUGAGUGAGGAAGGUCUUCGGACUGUAAAGCUCUGUUGCCGGGGAAAAAGGGGAAAUGCAGGAAAUGGCAUUUCAUGGAUGGUACCCGGCCAGAAAGCCACGGCUAACUACGUGCCAGCAGCCGCGGUAAUACGUAGGUGGCGAGCGUUAUCCGGAAUGAUUGGGCGUAAAGGGUGCGCAGGCGGUCUGUUAAGUCUGAAGGCAAAGGGAUGAGCUCAACUCAUUUAUGAUUCAGAAACUGGCAGACUUGAGGACAGGAGAGGGCGGUGGAACUCCAUGUGUAGCGGUAAAAUGCGCAGAGAUAUGGAAGAACACCAGUGGCGAAGGCGGCCGCCUGGCCUGUGACUGACGCUGAGGCACGAAAGCGUGGGGAGCAAAUAGGAUUAGAUACCCUAGUAGUCCACGCCGUAAACGAUGAGGAGCAGGUGUUGGGAGUGAAAUCUCAGUGCCGAAGCCAACGCAGUGACUCCUCCGCCUGGGGAGUAUGCACGCAAGUGUGAAACUCAAAGGAAUUGACGGGGGCCCGCACAAGCGGUGGAGUAUGUGGUUUAAUUCGAAGCAACGCGAAGAACCUUACCAGGUUUUGACAUCGGAUGCGAAGGCGCAGAGAUGCGCUGGAGGCUAUCAUCCAGACAGGUGGUGCAUGGUUGUCGUCAGCUCGUGUCGUGAGAUGUUCAGUUAAGUCUGGCAACGAGCGCAACCCCCGUGGUAUGUUACUAACGCAUUUGGGCGAGGACUCAUAUCAGACUGCCGGUGACAAACCGGAGGAAGGCGGGGAUGACGUCAAAUCAUCAUGCCCCUUAUGACCUGGGCUACACACGUACUACAAUGGCGUCUACAGAGGGAAGCGACCCUGAGAAGGGAAGCGAAACCGGAAAAGGGCGUCCCAGUUCGGAUUGAAGUCUGCAACCCGACUUCAUGAAGAUGGAAUCGCUAGUAAUCGCGGAUCAGCAUGCCGCGGUGAAUACGUUCCCGGGCCUUGUACACGCCGCCCGUCAAACCAUGGAAGCCGGCAACGCCCGAAGCCGGUGGCAUAACCUUUUAGGAGUGAGCCGUCGAAGGCGGGGCCGAUGACUGGGGUUAAGUCGUAACAAGGUACCC
rnacentral:rRNA from 1 species